UCAGUAAAAUCCUGCAUAAUCACAUUUUAAACAUUCUGCAGGUACAAGUUAUCUUAUGUGAAGACAACAUAUGUGACAACUUGUGAACACUCUAGGUUUUACCAAAAUUGCUGCCAACACAAGAACCAACAAACUCCCCCUUUGGCAAAUUUUGGCUAAAACAUAUAUCAAUCCAUUUGUUCACAAGAGUAAAAAACAUAUCAGCAGUUAAGCAACAACAGAAGUAAUAAACCACACAUUAGUAAACACACAUUAAACACAUUUGUGCUUCUUCUCCCCCUAAGUCUGUUCAACAUAGACAUCUCCUUCAACAACACAUGUAACAUCCAUCACCCCAUCUGACAUCUCCUUCAACAUCACCUGUACAACACAAAACAUCAUUCUGUUCAACAUCAGCUGUCAUCACAUAUUAACUGCAGCUCUCCACAUAUUAACUGCAACUCUCCACAUUAACUUCUCCCCCUUUUUAGUCAAAAUAGACCAAAGAGACCAAUUAGACAAAAUAAAUGUCAAUUAGUCCAACAGAGAAUGUCACAUAGAAUGGUAAAACAUAUAGAAUGUUAAAACAUAACGCCAGGUGUUACAAAACCAUAAUUAUACACAGCUAUAAAAGCUGAGAUAAAAAGAAAUCCAGAGAAAUCACAAAGAGAACCCAAAAGUUACAUCAUGGCAUCAAAACAAGACUACAAAAAAAAACAUCAAACAUCAAAG
rnacentral:lncRNA from 1 species